rnacentral:rRNA from 1 species
GGCGGCAGGCCUAACACAUGCAAGUCGAGCGGUAGAGAGAAGCUUGCUUCUCUUGAGAGCGGCGGACGGGUGAGUAAUGCCUAGGAAUCUGCCUGGUAGUGGGGGAUAACGUUCGGAAACGGACGCUAAUACCGCAUACGUCCUACGGGAGAAAGCAGGGGACCUUCGGGCCUUGCGCUAUCAGAUGAGCCUAGGUCGGAUUAGCUAGUUGGUGAGGUAAUGGCUCACCAAGGCGACGAUCCGUAACUGGUCUGAGAGGAUGAUCAGUCACACUGGAACUGAGACACGGUCCAGACUCCUACGGGAGGCAGCAGUGGGGAAUAUUGGACAAUGGGCGAAAGCCUGAUCCAGCCAUGCCGCGUGUGUGAAGAAGGUCUUCGGAUUGUAAAGCACUUUAAGUUGGGAGGAAGGGUUGUAGAUUAAUACUCUGCAAUUUUGACGUUACCGACAGAAUAAGCACCGGCUAACUCUGUGCCAGCAGCCGCGGUAAUACAGAGGGUGCAAGCGUUAAUCGGAAUUACUGGGCGUAAAGCGCGCGUAGGUGGUUUGUUAAGUUGGAUGUGAAAUCCCCGGGCUCAACCUGGGAACUGCAUUCAAAACUGACUGACUAGAGUAUGGUAGAGGGUGGUGGAAUUUCCUGUGUAGCGGUGAAAUGCGUAGAUAUAGGAAGGAACACCAGUGGCGAAGGCGACCACCUGGACUAAUACUGACACUGAGGUGCGAAAGCG